CAGCAUUGUAGCUUGCUACAGAUGGCGACCGGCGCACGGGUGAGUAACGCGUAUGCAACCUGCCUUUUACAGGUGGAUAGCCCAGAGAAAUUUGGAUUAAUACCCCAUAGCAUCAAAUUGCCGCAUGGCAAUAUGAUUAAAGAUUUAUCGGUAAAAGAUGGGCAUGCGUGGCAUUAGCUAGUUGGUAAGGUAACGGCUUACCAAGGCGACGAUGCCUAGGGGUUCUGAGAGGAUGACCCCCCACACUGGUACUGAGACACGGACCAGACUCCUACGGGAGGCAGCAGUGAGGAAUAUUGGUCAAUGGGCGAGAGCCUGAACCAGCCAUCCCGCGUGAAGGAAGACUGCCCUAUGGGUUGUAAACUUCUUUUCUGUCCCAAGAACGUGCGGUACGUGUACCGCAGUGACGGUAGGACAGGAAUAAGCAUCGGCUAACUCCGUGCCAGCAGCCGCGGUAAUACGGAGGAUGCGAGCGUUAUCCGGAUUCAUUGGGUUUAAAGGGUGCGUAGGCGGCUCCUUAAGUCAGUGGUGAAAUCCUGCGGCUCAAUCGUAGAACUGCCAUUGAAACUGGGGGGCUUGAAUACAGAUGAAGUAGGCGGAAUGAGUAGUGUAGCGGUGAAAUGCAUAGAUAUUACUCAGAACACCGAUUGCGUAGGCAGCUUACUAAACUGAUAUUGACGCUGAGGCACGAAAGCGUGGGGAGCGAACAGGAUUAGAUACCCUGGUAGUCCACGCAGUAAACGAUGUUCACUCGCUGUUUGCGAUAUACAGUAAGCGGCUUAGCGAAAGCAUUAAGUGAACCACCUGGGGAGUACGUCGGCAACGGUGAAACUCAAAGGAAUUGACGGGGGCCCGCACAAGCGGAGGAACAUGUGGUUUAAUUCGAUGAUACGCGAGGAACCUUACCUGGGCUUAAAUGUAGGUUGCAUGAGGUGGAAACACCCUUCCCUUCGGGGCCACCUACAAGGUGCUGCAUGGUUGUCGUCAGCUCGUGCCGUGAGGUGUCGGGUUAAGUCCCAUAACGAGCGCAACCCUUACCGUUAGUUGCCAUCAGGUCAAGCUGGGAACUCUAACGGGACUGCCACCGUAAGGUGAGAGGAAGGUGGGGAUGACGUCAAAUCAGCACGGCCCUUAUGUCCAGGGCUACACACGUGUUACAAUGGCCGGUACAGAGGGCAGCUACACCGCGAGGUGGUGCUAAUCCUAAAAGCCGGUCCCAGUUCGGAUCGUAGUCUGCAACCCGACUACGUGAAGUUGGAUUCGCUAGUAAUCGCGCAUCAGCCAUGGCGCGGUGAAUACGUUCCCGGGCCUUGUACACACCGCCCGUCAAACCAUGGAAGCUGGGGGGACCUGAAGUC
rnacentral:rRNA from 1 species